AGCGGUACGCGAGCUGGGUUCAGAACGUCGUGAGACAGUUCGGUCCCUAUCUGCGGUGGGCGUUGGAGAUUUGAGAGGAGUCGUCCCUAGUACGAGAGGACCGGGAUGAACAGACCUCUGGUGUAUCAGUUGUCGUGCCAACGGCACUGCUGACUAGCUACGUCUGGACGGGAUAACCGCUGAAAGCAUCUAAGCGGGAAGCCCACCUCAAGAUGAGAUCUCCCACCCCUUUAAGGGGGUAAGGCUCCAGGUAGACCACCUGGUUGAUAGGCUGGAUGUGUAAGCGCAGUAAUGCGUUCAGCAGACCAGUACUAAUCCGCCGAGGGCUUGACCAA
rnacentral:rRNA from 1 species